AGUAACGCGUGGGUAACCUGCCCUGUAGCGGGGGAGUAACUAUUGGAAACGAUAGCUAAUACCGCAUAACAAUGGAUGACCCAUGUCAUUUAUUUUGAAAGGGGCAAAUGCUCCACUACAAGAUGGACCUGCGUUGUAUUAGCUAGUAGGUGAGGUAACGGCUCACCUAGGCGACGAUACAUAGCCGACCUGAGAGGGUGAUCGGCCACACUGGGACUGAGACACGGCCCAGACUCCUACGGGAGGCAGCAUG
rnacentral:rRNA from 1 species